UCAAGUAAGUAAGGGCGUACGGCGGAUGCCUUGGCCAUAUCAGCCGAAGAAGGACGCGAUAAGCUGCGAUAAGCUGCGGUGAGGUGCAAGUAACCUUUGACCCGCAGAUCUCCGAAUGGGGAAACCCGGCAGCAGUAGUGCUGUCAUCCUCUAUGAGGAAGGGCACCCGGUGAACUGAAACAUCUAAGUAGCCGGAGGAAAAGGAAUCAACAGAGAUACCCCUAGUAGCGGCGAGCGAACGGGGCAGAGCCCAAACCGGAAUGGGAAACCAAUCCGGGGUUGUGGACUGCUAUCAAAUGCAUGAGUGAAGCAGAAUGAGCUGGGAAGCUCAGCCAGAGAGAGUGAGAGCCUCGUAGGCGUAAGCAAGUGCAUGGAGCAGGAUCCAGAGUACCACGGGACACGAGAAACCCUGUGGGAAGCUGGGGGGACCACCCUCCAAGGCGAAACACUGAUAUGGACCGAUAGCGCAUAGUACCGUGAGGGAAAGGUGAAAAGAACCCCGGGAGGGGAAUGAAAGAGAACCUGAAACCGUAUGUCUACAAGCAGUCGAAGACCUUUAUAUGGUCGACGGCGUGCCUAUUGAAGAAUGAACCGGCGAGUUACUUCAGCUAGCGAGGUUAAGCGGAAAACGUGGAGCCGAAGCGAAAGCGAGUCUGAACAGGGCGUAUAGUUAGUUGGAGUAGACCCGAAACCACAGUGAUCUACCCAUGUCCAGGUUGAAGCACAGGUAAAAAUGUGUGGAGGACCGAACCAGUGAGCGUUGAAAAGCUUUUGGAUGAGAUGUGGGUAGGGGUGAAAUGCCAAUCGAACGUGGAGAUAGCUGGUUCUCCCCGAAAUAGCUUUAGGGCUAGCCUCAUGGCGAGAGUACAGGCGGUAGAGCACUGAACGGGGUAGGGGCCUAUCCGGCUACUGAACCUAAUCAAACUGCGAAUGGCUGUACUUAUCCAUGGGAGUCAGACUGUGAGUAAUAAGGCCCAUAGUCAAGAGGGAAACAGCCCAGACCAACAGCUAAGGUCCCCAAUGCCGUACUAAGUGGCGAAGGAUGUGGAAUUUCGAAAACAACCAGGAUGUUGGCUCAGAAGCAGCCACCAUUAAAAGAGUGCGUAAUAGCUCACUGGUCGAGAGACUCUGCGCCGAAGAUGUCCGGGGCUAAAGUACGGAACCGAAGCUUUGGCAAUUGACAUUAGUCAAUUGGGUAGGGGAGCGUUCCUGCAUGGGAGAAGCCUGACCGGAAGGACAGGUGGACAGGCAGGAAGAGAGAAUGCCGGUAUGAGUAGCGAAAAGAAGGGUGAGAAUCCCUUCCACCGAAAGCCUAAGGGUUCCUGGGCAACGAUCGUCGUCCCAGGGUAAGUCGGGACCUAAUCCGAGGCGGAGACGCGUAGGAGAUGGACAACAGGUUGAAAUUCCUGUACUGGCUGAGGCCGUUUGAGCGAAGGAGUGACACAGGAAGGAAGGCGCGCGUGCGAUUGGAAGAGCACGUCCAAGCAGGUAGGUUGGGAGACAGGCAAAUCCGUUUCCCGAGAGGCCGAGAUGCGAUGGGGAGCUUCUGGAGACAGAAGCGAAGGGGCUGGCACUAAACUGUCGAGAAAAGCUUCUAGUGAGGACUCAGGCACCCGUACCGAAACCGACACAGGUAGGCAGGAUGAGAAUUCUAAGGUGCGCGGGAAAACCCUCGUUAAGGAACUCGGCAAAAUAUAUCCGUAACUUCGGGAAAAGGAUAACCCAGCGUACGUGAAGUGCAGAAACGCACGGAGCGGAGAUGGGUGGCAGAAGAGAGGCCCAAGCGACUGUUUACCACAAACACAGGCGUCUGCUAAAGCGAAAGCUGAUGUAUAGAUGCUGACACCUGCCCGGUGCUGGAAGGUUAAGAGGAAGUGUUAGCGCAAGCGAAGCAGUGAAUUGAAGCCCCAGUAAACGGCGGCCGUAACUAUAACGGUCCUAAGGUAGCGAAAUUCCUUGUCGGGUAAGUUCC
rnacentral:rRNA from 1 species